rnacentral:rRNA from 1 species
UACGGGGGGGGCAAGCGUUGUUCGGAAUUACUGGGCGUAAAGGGUGCGUAGGCGGCUUUCUAAGUUGGAUGUGAAAACUAUGGGCUCAACCCAUAGCCUGCAUCCAAAACUGGAGAGCUUGGGUUCUGGAGGGGAAAGCGGAAUUCCUGGUGUAGCGGUGAAAUGCGUAGAUAUCAGGAGGAACACCGGUGGCGAAGGCGGCUUUCUGGACAGAUACCGACGCUGAGGCACGAAAGCUAGGGGAGCAAACAGG